GGAAAACAUUUAAAUAGAUGCAUGAAACCUUUAGAAAAAGCACUGUAAAUGUGUGCAUGUUUGUCCCAUUCCUAUAAUUUAUGUAAAAUUCACAAGAUUUGUCUAUCACAUUCCACUUUGUGUAUGUAUAUUGUUCCACUUUUAAUUGUUCAUUGUGUUUUGUAACAUGCAAAAUAAAAAAAAUGAGCAAAAACUUAAAAAAAAAUAUAUGGAUAUUUUAUUGGUAUAGUGAAUAAAAAGGAUAUUUUUCAACUACAGAGUAUUAUCCUUAAAAACAAAAAAACAACUAUUUAUAUCAUAUUAAUUAUAAUGACAUAUGAUUUCAGUUGAGCUAUUAUUCAAGUCACAAAAUUGAUUGAUUGUACUUUUAGCCAAUGUAUGCCAAAUUUGUAUUGCACAGCCAUGACUAUUAUACAUAUAUAUAGUGAGGUUUUUAACUUUGUCUUGUGAUUAACAAUUGUAACACAUUACCUUUGUGUGCCUCGUUUUACCGUUUACAUUUUAAUACAAUUGUACAUUUUCAGGAUGAUAAUAAAUACCUUAGUACUUUC
rnacentral:misc_RNA from 1 species